UACUAGGUUCAAAUGAGUGUGAAACAUAGCAGAUAGAGGGCUUACAUCGCCAUAGCCACAUUUUGUAAUUAAGUUUUAAUCAAAGAACCAUUACAUUGAGUUAGUUUCCCUCUUUUUUAAACUUUUGUUAGCUACUGAAACAACGUUCUGCUUUAGCAUGAUGUUGUCCUGAGGAUUGAAAGCAGAUAAGACUUUUAUCUCAACUACCGAGCUAAAGUCAUUUAUAGCUGUAUAUCAUUUGUAAGCCACACGGUAACUAGGAAGCGUGUUCUUUAAAGUGUUUUGGUUGUAAUUAACGAAUGUCAACGAAGGGAAAGAUUAUUAGCAGCAGUAAUAGCCGCCCGAUGUUCACACUGUAGCUCAGUUCAAGGUUCAAUUUAGAGUAAAGAAAGACAGUCUCGUUACGGCAAAAUGUCAGACUCCGCUGGCAGUCGGACCAAAACAUUAAAUUUCAACGUCGGGGUGCUCGGGCAUGUCGACAGCGGGAAGACGUCGCUUGCCAGGUCGCUGAGCAGCACCGCCUCCACGGCCGCCUUCGACAAGAACCCGCAGUCCCGUGAGAGAGGCAUCACGCUGGACCUGGGCUUCUCCUCGUUCACGGUGGACCUCCCGCAUCAUCUGCGGGACAGCGUUGCACAGCAGCAGUAUGACAGCCUGCAGUUCACCCUGGUAGACUGUCCGGGGCAUGCCUCUCUGAUUCGGACUAUUAUUGGAGGUGCUCAAAUCAUUGACCUGAUGAUGCUGGUGGUGGACGUGGUGAAAGGGGUGCAGACUCAGACUGCAGAGUGUCUGCUUAUAGGAGAGCUGACCUGCCCUCGCAUGGUGGUGGUCUUGAACAAGAUUGACCUCCUGCCAGCCAACAAGAGACAGAGUGCCAUCGAGAAAAUGACCAAGAGACUGCACAAAACACUGGAGAGCACCAGAUUUAAGGAUUGUCCAGUGAUUGCUGUGGCAGCGAAGCCUGGAGGCCCAGAGGCUGCUGAAACAGAGGAGCCACAGGGAGUGCCAGAUUUAAUAGAGCUUCUGAAGACACAGACAUACCUUCCUCAGAGAGACCCUGGAGGUGACUUUCUUAUGGCUGUGGACCAUUGCUUCUCCAUCCGUGGUCAGGGAACAGUCAUGACUGGGACCAUCCUACAGGGGUCGCUGGCCAUCAAUGACACAGUGGAAAUUCCAGCGCUAAAGGUGACCAAGAAGGUAAAGUCGGUGCAGAUGUUUCGGAAGCCAGUGUCUGGGGCCAUGCAGGGAGAUCGUGUGGGUGUGUGUGUGACACAGUUUGACCCUAAACUGUUGGAGCGUGGUGUAGUGUGCACCCCAGGGUCCCUGCGCACCCUCUAUGCAGCUGUCAUCUCCGUCAGGAAGAUAGGCUACUUCAAGGGCUCUCUUUCCACACGUGCCAAGUUUCACAUUACAGUGGGACAUGAGACAGUCAUGGCGAGGGUGGCCUUCUUCGGCCUGCCACCUGUGGGUGCCUCAGAGCCCCCUUCAGACACUAAAGCACCUCCAGAGGCGUGCUCACUAGAAACGCGCUUCACCUUUGACAGGGAGUACUUCUACCAGGACCAAUAUCUGACCGGUCAGGGAGAGGCAAACUCAGGACCCGACCCAGAGCAAUGGGCUUUGUUAGAGUUUGAGCGACCAGUCACAUGUCCCUCACUCUGCCUUGUGAUUGGCUCCAAGCUGGACACAGACAUCCACGCUAAUGCAUGCCGUUUGGCCUUCCAAGGCUGUCUGCUGCAGGGGUUUGAAGAUAAAGGCUAUGCUGAGACCACCCUGCUUCGCCUGCGCAUCUACAAAACCAAACACAAGGAGGGACAGGUGGAAAGGGUUACUGAUGAUUACACUGUGAUCGGCCGUAACCUGUUCAAGAAGGAGACCAACCUCCAGCUCUUUGUGGGGUUGAAGGUCACGUUGUCGACAGGUGAGACCGGCGUUAUCGAGGGCGGGUUCGGACAAAGCGGGAAGUUUAAGAUUCGGAUACAAGGUAAGGAUUUAUCAGAUGCAUUUCAGUUAUGUUGCUUACGUCUCCCUCUUCAUCAGUACACGUACCAAAACUUUCUCCGUCCGUCUUUUGAUUUUGGGGGCUCUGCAGGACGGUUUUCAGGAUGUGGUAAGAGUGGUAGGCCUGACAUCCCGAAACACAUUCCCAGGAUUCCUCUGGGGAUUGCCUGUAUUCCGGGGGAAGUCUGUUCUGUGUUUAUUUUACCUUCUGUUGCUCCAAACCCACGGCUCCACACCGGGAGGGAAGAGAAAACAAAAACAUUUAGAAAGAGAACCUCACCUACAUCCUCUUCACUGCCUCACACUUGAAUACUUGAAAGUCUCUGACAUACGGAUACACACAUCCUCACAUAUGAACAUAAUGCAUACAUUCAGUGGUGUUCAUUUGAGACUCUGUCAGGCUUCAGAGGGAAGAUAGCACUACUCUGCUGCUGAUUGGGGGUUUGUCAAGCUUUAGUUUUAGGUUUUAGCCUUUUGCAGGUUCUACAUUUGAGUAAUGGCACUGUAUGUACAAAUUGCUGUUUCUAAAAAGGCCUCAACUGUUUGAAAUCAUUUUAUCCCAUUUCUGUGUAAAUAUAUAAACUUGUAUGGGUGUGUUCUCUUUUCACACACAUGAAUGUGAUAGAGAGAAUGAAUGAAUUAAAAAUGUCUGCUUUCAUACAGAUUGAAAAAUACGUUUCUGUUGCUCAUAUCUGCUGCGUCAUUUAUAGGGCUGCAAAUAACAAUUAUUUUCAUUAUUGAUUAAUCUGUUGGUUAUUUUCUUGAUUAUGCAGUUAAUCUUUGAUCUAUAUGUUUUUUAAAAAGCCAUCACAAUUUCCUGAAGCCCAGAGUAAUACCAUCAUAUUGCUUGUUUUGUUCAACCAACAGCGCAAAACAAUGAAAUAUUCAUGUUCCAUACAGAGAAAAGCAUUAAAUCUUCACAAUUGAGAAACUGGAGUCAGAUUGUUUGGUAUUUGUACAGCAAUAACAUAACAAUUAAGCAAUUAUUAAAAUAGUUGCUGAUUCAUUUUAUGUUGAUUAUGUUAUGUUUAUUGCUGUUUCAUUAGAAAUAAUGCACAGUUUAAGUGUUUGCAGAGAUAGUUAUAAGAUAUUCUGACCACUUGUACGAACUUAAUUUAAAGUUCUCAGUUGAACAACAGUGAAUACAGUUACUGUAACCUAUUGUGAUGCAGUCUUUAUAGUGACACUCAGAAACUCAUAAAGAAGUCUCUCAGUCUCUGUUGUUAUAAUCUCCUUCCUUCUUCCUUUCUGUACCAGCAUAUGUAUCGAUGUGCUACCACAUAUAUAACUCAGUAUAGGUUUUAUUACAAUGAGUUAUAUAAAAGUCAUAAGGGGCUGUGCAGGUUUUCAGUGGGUGUAGAGGAUAGUGAGAUUAUCAGUGCUCCAUACACUUAUCUGGUCUACGAACAGAAAACACAGUGGCGUUAUGUUGCCCUUCAACAAGUACAUUUUCUGCCACCUUGGCAGAUGACUCGGUCCUAUAUGUACUACACUAAACUUUAUUUUGACCCAUAUUUGUGCUUGUUGGAUGUUAAGUUUGGACGCUGUCAGAUAAACAUACUGUGUCAUGUACACGUGUCACUGAUGCCUCAUGCUUAACACAGUCAUCUUGAUUUCUAGAUUCUUCAUCAGCCAUAGUCCCAUUACCUGCAUUCUUAAUCUGUGCAGGAAUUUGAAGAUAUAAUUGUAUAAUAAUGGAUGUUUGUUAUUUACAGACAAAUUAAUUAGAGAACAAAUGUGUAAAGCAGUGUUCCUUAAGUGUCAUUUGUAUGUGAACACAAAUCCAUCAAGUUUGUGUGUGUGUGUGUGUGUGUGUGUCUUUUGUGGAGUUAAAUGGAUGUUUUCAGCUGAUCAUAGAUAACAAGGAAGAGAUUUCUGGCGGUGCUGCAACCAUAACAACCCUCACAUUGGCAUAACGAUAACAAGAAGAAUGCUGGCGCCGUUGUACGUGAGGUCAGACAGUCAGCGUGUAAAGCAAUGAACCCAGAACAUUGCUUACCUUCCGUGUGCAAAACCACAAGCAAACAAGCAGCCAUUUUCCAUAGUCGUCGCAAACAGUAAAGAUAUGAUGGCACAGAGUGAGUCUGUGGUGGAUGCUUAAGUAACAUCAGACUGCAACUCCGUGUUCACAGGAAACAGCUCAGUAGGGCUGAGAACGAGGCCCAAGUGAGAGAAGAAUCAUGAGUUUAGGUCGAAGCAUAAAUAGGAGGAACAAUACUGCAGUGUGCAUGUCAGGAUGGGCCAGACUAGUCUCGAGGCAACUGAGACCUGGUUCUCUGCACAUUUUCAUCAGUUACAUCAGGAUGACGAAGGCAUCAGUUGAUCUUGAGGUCAGCACACUGAACAGCACUGAUACAGCACCUGCUGCGCACAUAACAAUGGUCUUCUCCCAGAAACCAAGCAGUUGUUAUCCUCUACCUCUAAGAAGAAAGGGAAGGGAGGGAACAAAGGCGGACCAGCAAACGAAGAGGAGCCCAAAGCUGAUUCUCAGCCUGUUAGCAUUCACUUGCAUUUCAA